rnacentral:rRNA from 1 species
ACCCUUAGAUGUUCUGGGCCGCACGCGCGCUACACUGAUGCAUUCAACGAGUCUAAAACCUGCUCUGAUAGGGGUGGGUAAUCUUUUGAAUGUGCAUCGUGAUUGGGAUAGAUGAUUAAAAUUUUUUAUCUUCAACGAGGAAUGCCUAGUAAACGCAAGUCAUCAGCUUGCAUUGAUUACGUCCCUGCCCUUUGUACACACCGCCCGUCGCUCCUACCGAUUGAAUGAUCCGAUGAAUAUCAUGGAUUGAGGAUGCAAGUAGGUUCACCUAUCUUCAUCUUCGAGAAGUGAAGUAAAUCUUAUCAUUUAGAGGAAGGAGAAGUCGUAACA